AUGAAGAACGUAGCGAAAUGCGAUAAGUAAUGUGAAUUGCAGAAUUCAGUGAAUCAUCGAAUCUUUGAACGCACCUUGCGCUCUUUGGUAUUCCGAAGAGCAUGCCUGUUUGAGUGUCAUGAAAAUAUCAACCUUGACUUGGGUUUUGUGCUCUAGUCUCGGCUUGGAAUUGGGUGCUUGCCGCUUUUACGAGCGGCUCACCUUAAAUGUAUUAGCUGGAUCUGUCUUUGAGACUUGGUUUGACUUGGCGUAAUAAGUAUUUCGCUAAGGACAUUCUUCGGAGUGGCCUCGUUUCUAGGACGCUUGUCCGCUUUCCAAUACAAGUUCCACCUCGUGGACAUGACUUUUUAUUAUCUGGCCUCAAAUCAGGUAGGACUACCCGCUGAACUUAAGCAUAUCAAUAAGCGGAGGA
rnacentral:misc_RNA from 1 species